rnacentral:rRNA from 1 species
AUUGCCCCAGUAACGGCGAGUGAAGCGGCAACAGCUCAAAUUUGAAAUCUGGCCCACUAGGACCCGAAUUGUAAUUUGCAGAGGAUGCUUUUGGCGAGGUGCCUUCCGAGUUCCCUGGAACGGGACGCCAUAGAGGGUGAGAGCCCCGUCUGGUUGGACGCCGAGCCUCUAUGAAGCUCCUUCGACGAGUCGAGUAGUUUGGGAAUGCUGCUCUAAAUGGGAGGUAUAUGUCUUCUAAAGCUAAAUACCGGCCAGAGACCGAUAGCGCACAAGUAGAGUGAUCGAAAGAUGAAAAGCACUUUGAAAAGAGGGUUAAAUAGUACGUGAAAUUGUUGAAAGGGAAGCGCUCAUGACCAGACUUGGGCCCGGUGAAUCACCCAGCGUUCUCGCUGGUGCACUUUGCCGAGCCCAGGCCAGCAUCAGUUUGCCUCGGGGGAUAAAGGCUCCGGGAAUGUGGCUCCCUCGGGAGUGUUAUAGCCCGUUGCACAAUACCCUGGGGCGGACUGAGGUUCGCGCAUCUGCAAGGAUGCUGGCGUAAUGGUCAUCAGCGACCCGUCUUGAAACACGGACCAAGGAGUCGUCUUCGUAUGCGAGUGUUCGGGUGCGAAACCCCUACGCGUAAUGAAAGUGAACGCAGGUGAGAGCUUCGGCGCAUCAUCGACCGAUCCUGAUGUUCUCGGAUGGAUUUGAGUAAGAGCAUACGGGGCCGGACCCGAAAGAAGGUGAACUAUGCCUGUAUAGGGUGAAGCCAGAGGAAACUCUGGUGGAGGCUCGCAGCGGUUCUGACGUGCAAAUCGAUCGUCAAAUAUGGGCAUGGGGGCGAAAGACUAAUCGAACCUUCUAGUAGCUGGUUUC